rnacentral:rRNA from 1 species
UACGUAGGGGGCUAGCGUUGUCCGGAAUCAUGGGGCGUAAAGAGCGUGUAGGCGGCCCGGUAAGUCCGCUGUGAAAGUCGGGGGCUCAACCCUCGAAUGCCGGUGGAUACUGUCGGGCUAGAGUGCGGAAGAGGCGAGUGGAAUCCCUGGUGUAGCGGUGAAAUGCGCAGAUAUCAGGAGGAACACCAAUUGCGAAGGCAGCUCGCUGGGACGUAACUGACGCUGAGACGCGAAAGCGUGGGGAGCAAACAGG